rnacentral:rRNA from 1 species
UACGGGGGGAGCAAGCGUUGUUCGGAUUUACUGGGCGUAAAGGGCUCGUAGGCGGUUCGUCACGUCGGGAGUGAAAACUCGGAGCUUAACUCCGAGCCUGCUUCCGAUACGGGCAGACUAGAGGUAGGCAGGGGAGAGCGGAACUCCUGGUGUAGCGGUGGAAUGCGCAGAUAUCAGGAAGAACACCGGUGGCGAAGGCGGCUCUCUGGGCCUUACCUGACGCUGAGGAGCGAAAGCGUGGGUAGCGAACAGGAUAGAUACCCUCGGUGAGCUCAG